AAAGUUAAACAAAAACAAGCUAAAAGCUUGUUCUUUGAAAAGUUUAAGAGAACUGACAUACCCCCAUUAAGACAUCAAUAAAAAAAGAGAAAAAGUAACAUCAGGAAUGAAAAAUACAUUAUCAUUGGAGACUACACCAACAAUGAAAAGAUGUGAUGAUAAAAUGAACAUUUAACAUCAAUUUUAAAAUGUGAAUAAGGGCAAAUACCUCAAAAAAUUAAACUGACAACACAAAUGGAAAAUCUGGAGAGUGUCUUCUGUUAGUGGAAGUUGAAUCAGUUAUUCAAAAGUCCUUCCACAGAGACAACAUAAAGCCUUUUCAGUGAGCUCUUUCAAACAUUUGAGGAAGAAAUUACCUUAAUUUUAAACAAAUUCUUCCAAUAAAUAGAAAAAUGGAAUAUUUCCCAAUUAAGUCCAUCCUAAUCAUGAUACCAAAACAUGACAAAGGCAUCAUGAUGUAUAAUAAGGGACACUGAAAUAGAUACAAAAGAUAGUAUCUCACUACCAAGUGACGUUAAUUCUCAAUGUAUGCAAAUGUGGCUUAACACUUGAGAAACCAAUGUACUCUGCCACGUUAAUUUUUAUAAAGGGAGAAAAAUAGUUAUCUCAACUGAUACAAAUUGGAAAAAGGAUUUGAUGAAAUUUAACAACCAUUUAUAAAAAAUUCUUAGCAAACUAUGAAUAGAACUUCUGUAAACUGCUAUACAGUCUACUAGCAGACAUAUCUGGUGGUAAAAUACUGAAAGUUUUGCCCUUGAGAGCAGGAAUGACACAAGGAUUCCCAUAAUCACUUCUUCUAUUCAACAUUGUACUAGAGAUUCUUGCCAUAUAUAAUAAGGCAAGAAAAGAAAAUGAAUGGCAUAAAGACUAACAAGGAAGAAAUAAAAUAGUCAUUUGCAGAUACUAUGUACAUAGAAAAUCCAAAUGAAUUUACCGACUAUUAGAAUUAGUAGGUGAAUUUAACAAACUUCUUAUAAGUACAGUACUCAAAAGUCACUUAUAUUUAUAAAUCAAUACCAAAUAGAAAAUGGACUUUAUGAAGUGAUAUCAUUUAAAAUAACACUCAAAACAUCCAAGAGCUAAGAAGUCUAAGGGGAGAUGUGUAGAGAUAUUUAUUUCUAUACUGAAAUACACAAACUAUUUUUUAUAUGAAGAACCAAACAAAUAGAAGGAUAUUCCAUUUUUGUGGGUUGGAAGAUUCAAAAAUAUGGAGAUAGUAGUUCUCACCAAACUGGUGUAGACAGUCAACCCAGUCUUACUGAUUCUUGUUAAUUUUUACAGAUGUGCUUUAAGGUAUGUUAAUAUAGGUGGUCUUAUCCUCAGAGGCAGAAUAGGUGUUCUGAACUUUCCUUUAGUGGCCUGAAAGAGGAUAACUGCCCAGAGGUAAUAUGGCUAGCAAGAGAAGAAGGUAGAAGAACGCACAAGCUUCUUUUUUUGACCUUUUUCUUUCUCCUCCACUCUCCCACCAGACUGCUCCAGUCUUGUUCUUCCUGGCUGUGUUCCCUCCUCCUAGGACCCCAGGCUGCAUAAGAAAAAAAGUUUGCUGAUCCCUGAAUUUGAUGAAUGAGUCCGACUAUGAGUUGACUAUUUCACCUGCUAUUCUAAUUUUCUGAUUGAAAAACAAAAUGUGUUACCCUCCCAACUGUGAAAAUUCUUUUCAAGUCCAUGUCCACAAAUUACCCAACAGAAUCUUCCUGAGCCAAUACAGAGAAUAAGGGAAACGAAGACCCGGUUGACCUGAUGUUGCCUCUAGCUACUGUCUCCAUCAUCUGCCUGCACAGUCUAGCUACGUGACAGCAGCUGCACUCUCCUGUCUCAGUCUUCAGCCCGCUGCUUCUGGUUUCUGCCAUUCUUGCAGAAUGGCUUUGAAGUCAUCAAAUCCAGUGACCUUUAUGCUACCCACUCUCCUUGAGCCAUUUGGUACUGUGGAACAAUUCCUCCUUCUUGAAACAUCCCCUUUCCGUGACUUCAAGGUUACCCCUCUUUCCAGACUUUUCCCCAUCAUCUCUAGCUCUUCCGGCUCAGUCUCCUUCACUGCGUUCUCUUCCUUCACCUGCUCUUUAAAAAACUACGAUUAUUAAAGUCUGACAUACAUACAGAGAAGUGUACAAAUCCUGACUUUACAGACCAAUUUUUACCAGCUGAACAUACCCAAGUAACUGACACAUAGAUCAAAAAAAAAAAAAACUGUUUCCAGCACCCCCAGAAAUACCCCUUGCACCCUCUUACAGCCGCCCCGCGCUCCUAAAGAGUGACCACCAUCUAGACUUUGAACGUCAGAGAUGUGUUUUGCCUGUGUUUGAACUUUAUAUAAAUGUGGACGAACAUGUUUUGUGUCAGGCUUUUUUUGCUCAGCAUCUGGAUGGUAGAACUGUCCAUAUAUAUUUUUUUUUGUAGGUGCACUUUGUUCAUGCUUACUGCUGUAGGAGAUUUGACAGAGAGAAUACUCCACAGUUCAUGUAUCUGUUCUUCUGUGAUGGGCAUUUGGUGAGUAUCCACACGUUGCUGUUAGAAAGUGUGCCAUGAUAAAACCCUCAGUGCCUGCUUUUUAAACAGUGAGCUCUCUAGAUUUCAAGACCUCCCUUUUUACGUGGUGUCCAGAGUGGCUCUGGAAUAUUUGGGGAGGCAGAGAUUGCUUAAACAUGAGAGCCGUGCCUCCUCUCACUAAGUAAGUUAGAAGCUUGUGGACAUGUUUCAGGUGAAUAUGUUUUCAAAUAGUACUAUUUUUACACACUAAAAUGUAAUAUCUAUAUGCCAGUUGAACAACAAUAACAACGUGAAGUCCAAAAUUCUUACAGGAAAGACUAAAUUAGUGCCAGCUAUGUGCAAGAUUCUCAUAGUAGAGAUUAAAUUAGUAAAAUAUAAUUUAUUUCUCAGUGUAUAGAGCCUAUGAUUCCAUAAUUCCACUGAAUGCUUAAGUUCUAUUAGUUGGUAUUAAUUUCUACUCCACAAUAAUUAGUGACGGGACCUGGUUCUCUUUUAUGACACUAUGUAAAUGUCCCUAGCAAGGCAAAGUAGAAAAUGGGCAUACCAUUCUUGCUGCAGUGAACGGCCACCUCAAAAGGAUAGCUCCAAGCCCCAAAAUUCAUUAAUGAGACCAUAUCAAGUAAGAGUCAAGACUGAUUAAUACAUAAAAUCAAGGUGUAGAUAUUUUAGGUAAAAGCAAAGUUCUGGGAUUAUACUCAUAUCAAGUCUAUAAAGACAUUUUUUUUAAUGCUUAUUUAUUUUUGAGAGAGAAAGACAGAGCAAGAGUGGGGGAGGGGCAGAGAGAGAGGGAGACACAGAAUCGGAAGCAGGUUCCAGGCUCUCAGCUGUCAGCACAGAGCCUGACACGGGGCUUGAACUCGUGAACUGCGAGAUCACGACCUGAGCCGAAGUCGGACGCUCAACUGACUAAGCCACCCAGGUGCCCCUAAAGACAUUUUUUAUGUAUUUUGCUAUUGUUUAAUAAUUAAGAAACUAUUUUUAUUUUUAAUCAUUCUCAAAAAAAAUGUAAAUCCAAAUCUAGAAAUUAGUUAGUACUGGCAUGUAAUAGAUAUUCAUUUUAUGCUAUCCUGAGGACUCAGGGAAACAUGCACUACCUCCAUUCUCAUGAUUUCUAACUUUUUCUCCUCCAAAGAUAUUUUUAAAUAUGGAACUUUUAGAGAUUAUUUUUCUAGAGAAAUUCCUCUACUCUGUGCCAAAUGGUUUUGAAAUAUUCAUCAUUUCUCUCUGACGAUGAACUAUGUGGUAUUGCUUCUGCUUUGAAAAACAAAGGAAAAAUGUGUUUACAGUUUCACUUUGAGAAUUCUUAUAACAGUGAAUGGUAAAUAC